AAGACUAUACUUUCAGGGGUCAUUUCUAUAGUUUGUUACUAGAACAGGGCCUGGCAUAUAGCAGGUGCUCAAUAAAUGU
rnacentral:snoRNA from 1 species